CAGAAACUCAAAGAAGAAGACACAGUUUGCUUAUCACAAGUACCCAGAGGAAAGUUUCUAGUCUACAGCCGCAGUAAACCCCUUAUAUGUGUGGAAUAAAGCCAACACUGACAAUGCUCUUGUGUGGUUAUCGUAUGAAGAUCUGAUUAAGUAUCACUCAGAAGUUUUAAACUCCUGUGUCUUGUUAGAUGUUUCUGAAGAUGGGACACCACGAUACAGUGUGCAGGUUGGAGCUCUGGCAACAGAAAUACAGGAACAGAUGGAAGAUUCUACCAAUGCUUCCUUUACUGAUUUGCGAGCAGCCCUAUUCAUGGUCAACUGGAAGGAAGCCCAUGUCCUAUCCAGGGCAAAU